rnacentral:rRNA from 1 species
UACGUAGGGUGCAAGCGUUAAUCGGAAUUACUGGGCGUAAAGCGUGCGCAGGCGGCUAUGCAAGACAGAUGUGAAAUCCCCGGGCUUAACCUGGGAACUGCAUUUGUGACUGCAUGGCUAGAGUGCGGCAGAGGGGGAUGGAAUUCCGCGUGUAGCAGUGAAAUGCGUAGAUAUGCGGAGGAACACCGAUGGCGAAGGCGGUCUGCUGGGCAGUUGCUGACACUGAGGCGCGACAGCGUGGGGAGCAAACAGG